UAGACCUGAAAUCAGGCGAG
rnacentral:rRNA from 1 species